rnacentral:misc_RNA from 1 species
AACGCACGAGACCUGCGGACCUGCGGAAGGAUCAUUAACGAGUGUAACUUACCCUUUUUUUUAAAAGAGGGUAGUACCUCCUGUCCUUUGUAGGCCCCUUUUUAUUGGGGGGCUUUUUAAGACUUUCUGCUUCGGCGGGGUUAUUCCCGCCGGAACACCCUCAAAAAACUCUUCAAAAACUAAUUCAGUCCGAGAAUUUUUGAAAAUAAAAAAAACUUUUAGCAAUGGAUCUCUAGAUCG